GACGAACGCUGGCGGCGUGCUUAACACAUGCAAGUCGAACGGAAAGGCCCUGCUUUUGUGGGGUGCUCGAGUGGCGAACGGGUGAGUAACACGUGAGUAACCUGCCCCUGACUUUGGGGGAUCUUCAGGAAACUGGGGCUAAUACCGGAUAGGAGCUCUUGCUGCAUGGUGGGGGUUGGUAAGUUUCGGUGGUUGGGGAUGGACUCGCGGCUUAUCAGCUUGAUGGGGGGGUAGUGGCUUACCAAGGCUUUGACGGGUAGCCGGCCUGGGCGGGUGACCGGCCCCAUUGGGCCUGAGCUACGGCCCAGACUCCUACGGGAGGCAGCAGUGGAGAAUAUAACACAAUGGGAGGAAGCCUGAUGUAGCAACGCCGCGUGCGGGAUGACGGCCUUCGGGUUGUAAACCGCUUUCGCCUUUGACGAAGCGUGAGUGACGGUAAUGGGUAAAGAAGCACCGGCUAACUACGUG
rnacentral:rRNA from 1 species